GGGAUCACUGAAGCCACUGCGCUUUAGGAAGCAGCACACCUGCUCCGGGCCCCAGGUCUGGUGGUCGCGGUGGAGUUUGGGGCCCGGGGAGCUCUCCGCCGCCGCGGAAGGGAUGUUUGGCGGGGUUCUCGGGCUGCCAUCGCGUCGGGGCCGUUUGAAGGGCUGGUCCGAGUCCGCUCCCUGCAUGGCAACAACCAGCGCCCUGCACAGCACAGUCAAGAACCGCGGCGCUGGGACCGCACGCAAGCGCACUGACUGCCGGUCGGUGGGGACGAGUCCGCUCGGCACUGCCAGCCUACUGGCCUCCCGCGCAGGCGCACUGGUACUCAGACCUUGUGGCCGGGCAGCCCAGCCACUUCAGCCACCGGGCCCCCUUGCGCAGGCGCAAUGACAGCCCACUGGUCCUCAACAGGUCGGGAAGUUUACCGAAAGGGGCCGACUAGACGCAGAGCCGAGGAAGUGCUAAUACGGGCGAGGUAAUCUCUACACUGUAUGUGGGGCUUGAACCCACAACGCCAAGAUCAAGAGUUGCACUCUACCGACUAAGCCAGUUAGGCACCCCACAAAUGGAACCCUUAUACACUGCUGUGCAGCGUCAAGGAGGAUAUUUGAACCUGGAUCUCCAUACUCUUGGCCAUUAUACUCUUCUGCUGGCUUCAGACUUCCAUGAAACCCUGCUACAAACAUUGGGGUACAUGUGCCCCUAUGAAUCAGCACUUUCAACAAUAGCCAAAUUAUGGAAAGAGCCUAAAUGUCCAUCAACUGAUGAAUGGAUAAAGAAGAUGUGGUUUAUAUAUACAAUGGAAUACUACUUGGCAAUGAGAAAGAAUGAAAUCAUGCCAUUUGCAGCAAUGUGGAUGGAACUGGAGGGUAUUAUGCUGAGUGAAAUAAGUCAGUCAGAGAAGGACAGAUAUGAGUUUUCACUCAUAUGUGGAUCUUGAGAAACUUAACAGAAGACCACGGGGAAAGGGAAGGGGAAAAAAAAAUUGCAAACAAAGAGGGAGGGAGGCAAACUAUAAAAGACUCUUAAAUACAGAGA